rnacentral:rRNA from 1 species
CAUAGCGACUAUCGUGGCAUAUCAAUAAGCGGAGGAAAAGAAACUAACAAGGAUUCCCUUAGUAACGGCGAGUGAAGCGGGAAGAGCUCAAAUUUGAAAUCUUCAAGGUUCUACCUUGACGAAUUGUAGUUUAUAGAAGUGUUUUCUGUUAGUAGGAGUGGCAAAAGAUCUUUGGAAUAGGACAUCAUAGAGGGUGAGAAUCCCGUAUUUGGUCAUUCUUCCUAGCGUUGUGAUACACUUUCAACGAGUCGGAUUGUUUGGGAAUGCAGUCCAAAAUGGGUGGUAAAUUUCAUCUAAAGCUAAAUAUUGGCGAGAGACCGAUAGCGAACAAGUACCGUGAGGGAAAGAUGAAAAGAACUUUGAAAAGAGAGUUAAACAGUACGUGAAAUUGUCAAAAGGGAAGCGUUUGACACCAGUGUUGUUUUUCCGAAAAUCAAUUACGAAUGUUUUGUUUUUGAGGAGUUAUGACUUCAUCGGCUUGCUCCUUUCUUUACGAAACUUUCUUAAUGCACUUUUCGGUUAACAAGUCAACAUCAAUUUCUUUUGUUGUAAAAGGGUAUGAGGAAGGUGGCUUUCUUUUCGGAGAAAGUGUUUAUAGCCUUGUGCCUCUGCAAUCGGAGAGAUUGAGGUCUGCAGCGUAGAUCCUUCGGGGUUAGAUACGUUUGUGCUAAGUUAUAGCUUUUCAUAGACAACUUGUUGACUAUGUUUAGUCUUGUAGCUUACUCGCUUAUGCUAUUUUACCUACGCUUAGGAUGUUGAUAUGCAUGACUGAUAU